rnacentral:lncRNA from 1 species
AGCUCUGUCACAUCAGAGCCUUCGGAACACUCUGAACACUGAAACCCACGCUAACAGCACUUGUUCUUUCAUCCACACGCUGGCCGUGUUCCCACAGCAUCUUCUUUUACAUCCUCCAGAUCAUCCUUCAAAUUCACUCUAGCGUGGCCCUUUUAAAAUUGUGUUCCCGGCAUACACAUGUCUAAAUAUUCUGUUAUAUAUUUACCUCAGGACCGGGCAGGCAGCAUCGUCUUGAAGGUGCUCAUCUCCUUUAAAGCUAAUGAUAUUGAAAAGGCUGUUCAGUCUCUGGACAAGAAUGGCGUGGACCUCCUAAUGAAGUAUAUUUAUAAAGGCUUUGAGAGCCCGUCUGACAAUAGCAGCGCUAUGUUACUACAGUGGCAUGAAAAGGCACUUGCUGCUGGAGGAGUAGGGUCUAUCGUUCGUGUUUUGACUGCAAGAAAAACCGUGUAGUCCAGCUGGAACUGGACAGUGUUCAGAGGAGUGGGAGUUGCUGGUACAAAGACCAAAACAACCAAAUGGCACCGCUGCCCCAUGGGUAGCAUCUGUUUCUCUCAGCUUUGCCUUCUUGCUUCCUUUUUCAUAUCUAUAAAGAAGAAAAUUACAUAUCAGUUUCCUUUAAUGAAAAUUGAAAUAAUGUGGAGAAAAUUUUGUCUCAGUGGGGUGUUUGAUCCUUUCAUAACCAUGUCAAU